rnacentral:rRNA from 1 species
UACGAAGGGGGCUAGCGUUGCUCGGAAUUACUGGGCGUAAAGGGCGCGUAGGCGGGUGUUUAAGUCAGAGGUUAAAUCCCAGAGCUCAACUCUGGAACUGCCUUUGAUACUGGACACCUAGAGUACGGGAGAGGUGUGUGGAACUCCGAGUGUAGAGGUGAAAUUCGUAGAUAUUGGGAAGAACACCGGUGGCGAAGGCGGCGACCUGGUCCGAUACUGACGCUGAGGCGCGAAAGCGUGGGGAGCAAACAGG